CCAGAGGUUGGGAGAUGACUAGAGAUGUGCCAGAGGUUGGGGGAUGACUAGAGAUGUGCCAGAGGUUGGGAGAUGACUAGAGAUGUGCCAGAGGUUGGGAGAUGACUAGAGAUGUGCCAGAGGUUGGGGGAUGACUAGAGAUGUGCCAGAGGUUGGGAGAUGACUAGAGGUGUGCCAGGGUUGGGAGAUGACUAGAGAUGUGCCAGAGGUUGGGAGAUGACUAGAGGUGUGCCAGAGGUUGGGGGAUGACUAGAGAUGUGCCAGAGGUUGGGAGAUGACUAGAGAUGUGC